GCGCCCAUAGCUCAGCUGGUUAGAGCACCAGACUUAUAAUUUGGGGGUCGAUGGUUCAAGCCCAUCUGGGCGCA
rnacentral:tRNA from 1 species